AAUGAACGCUGGCGGCGUGCCUAACACAUGCAAGUCGAACGAGAAAUUUCCUGCUUGCAGGAGAAAGUAAGUGGCGCACGGGUGAGUAACACGUGGGUAAUCUACCCUUAAAUUUGGGAUAACUUCGCGAAAGCGACGCUAAUACCGAAUAUUAUAAUUUUAACCCCGGUUUUGAUUAUGAAAGGUGACCUCUUCUUGAAAGUUGCCGUUUAAGGAUGAGCCCGCGUACCAUUAGCUAGUUGGUAGGGUAAUGGCCUACCAAGGCUACGAUGGUUAGCUGGUCUGAGAGGAUGACCAGCCACACUGGAACUGAAACACGGUCCAGACUCCUACGGGUGGCUG
rnacentral:rRNA from 1 species